ACAUGCAAGUCGAGGGGCAGCGGGGAUAAGCUUGCUUAUCCGCCGGCGACCGGCGCACGGGUGCGGAACGCGUAUGGAACCUGCCCCUGUCAGGGGAAUAGCCCAGGGAAACUUGGAUUAAUGCCCCAUGGUACCGCGAUAUCGCAUGAUAUUGCGGUUAAAGAUUUAUCGGACAGGGAUGGCCAUGCGUACCAUUAGCUAGUUGGUAAGGUAACGGCUUACCAAGGCAACGAUGGUUAGGGGCCCUGAGAGGGGGAUCCCCCACACUGGUACUGAGACACGGACCAGACUCCUACGGGAGGCAGCAGUGAGGAAUAUUGGACAAUGGUCGGAAGACUGAUCCAGCCAUGCCGCGUGCAGGAUGACGGCCCUAUGGGUUGUAAACUGCUUUUAUACGGGAAGAAACCCGCCUACGUGUAGGCGGCUGACUGUACCGUAAGAAUAAGGACCGGCUAACUCCGUGCCAGCAGCCGCGGUAAUACGGAGGGUCCGAGCGUUAUCCGGAAUCAUUGGGUUUAAAGGGUCCGUAGGCGGGCCUGUAAGUCAGGGGUGAAAGUUUGUGGCUCAACCAUAAAAUUGCCUUUGAUACUGCAGGUCUUGAGUCAUGGUGGGGUUGCCGGAACAUGUGGUGUAGCGGUGAAAUGCAUAGAUAUCACAUAGAACACCGAUCGCGAAGGCAGGUGACCAACCAUGUACUGACGCUGAUGGACGAAAGCGUGGGUAGCGAACGGGAUUAGAUACCCCGGUAGUCCACGCCGUAAACGAUGGAUACUAGCUGUGGGGACCUCGGUCUCCGUGGCCAAGCGAAAGUGAUAAGUAUCCCACCUGGGGAGUACGUUCGC
rnacentral:rRNA from 1 species